rnacentral:rRNA from 1 species
AGUUCGGAUUGAAGGCUGAAAUUCGCCUUCAUGAAGCUGGAAUUGCUAGUAAUGGCAGGUCAGCAUACUGCCGUGAAUACGUUCCCGGGCCUUGUACACACCGCCCGUCACACCAUGAGAGUUGGGAAUACCCGAAGCCUGUGAGCUAACGUAAGAGGCAGCAGUCGAAGGUAGAAUCAAUGAUUGGGGUGAAGUCGUAACAAGGUAGC